rnacentral:lncRNA from 1 species
UUGUUAUUGUUGUAGUUGUUUAUUCUUUGUUACAGAUGUUGUUGACGUUGUAGUAAUUGGCACUGACUGAUUGUUGGAUUUGUUUGAAAAUAUUGGUAUUACCGAUGAAACUUGAUGUUGAUGCUGGCGUGGUUGCGUAUUUCUUCUAACAUGAGGCCUCCUCCGCCUCCCUACAGAUACUGCAUUGGUUUCUCCUUCCUUCUUCCUGAAAAAACCACUUCCA